UUCAUCGCCUAAGAUUUUUGUGCC
rnacentral:siRNA from 1 species